UGAGGAAUAUUGGACAAUGGGCGCAAGCCUGAUCCAGCAAUGCCGCGUGCAGGAUGAAGGCCUUCGGGUUGUAAACUGCUUUUGUACGGAGCGAAAAGGUCUGCCCUAAUACGGUGGGCUCAUGACGGUACCGUAAGAAUAAGCACCGGCUAACUACGUGCCAGCAGCCGCGGUAAUACGUAGGGUGCGAGCGUUAAUCGGAAUUACUGGGCGUAAAGCGUGCGCAGGCGGUUAUAUAAGACAGAUGUGAAAUCCCCGGGCUCAACCUGGGACCUGCAUUUGUGACUGUAUAGCUAGAGUACGGUAGAGGGGGAUGGAAUUCCGCGUGUAGCAGUGAAAUGCGUAGAUAUGCGGAGGAACACCGAUGGCGAAGGCAAACCCCUGGACCUGUACUGACGCUCAUGCACGAAAGCGUGGGGAUCAAACA
rnacentral:rRNA from 1 species